rnacentral:rRNA from 1 species
UACGGGGGGGGGCAAGCGUUUGUUCGGAAUUACUGGGCGUAAAGGGCGCGUAGGCGGCCCUCUAAGUCAGACGUGAAAUCCCCUCGGCUUAACCGGGGAACUGCAUCUGAUACUGGAUGGCUUGAGAUUGGGAGAGGGAUGCGGAAUUCCAGGUGUAGCGGUGAAAUGCGUAGAUAUCUGAAGGAACACCAGUGGCGAAGGCGGCUUUCUGGCCUAUUCUUGACGCUGAGGCGCGAAAAGCUAGGGGAGCGAACGGG